GGACUUAACCGUCCAGGGGUCCUUUACCUUUACCUUUACCCAGAGAACAGCUGAAGGAGACGAGAGGCACCUCCCAGUAGCAUCAAAUUUCAACUGCCCCGAGUCUCUUCAAGCCAGGAGCAAAGUUUCCUUCUAGCUAGAGGGACAGGCAAGGCUAAGUGGGCUUUGCAGCAGAAGCAGAUGUUGUCUUUCUUUCUUUCUUUCUUUCUUUCUUUCUUUCUUUCUUUCUUUCUUUCUUUCUUUCUUUCUUUCUUUCGUGCUGGGUAGCCCAUGCCAAUGCGGAGUUCAGAAGUAAAUUUACUGAGUACUGCUUGCUGUGUGGGAUCUGUUACCUUUAUUUAUCCCUGGUCUUUUAUUUUUCUCAUGUGGUUUUACCUUUCCUCUUGUUUCCCCCCAAAUUCUCCAGCGAUUCUCAGCAACUAGAGAGCAGGCAAGUUUUAGUGAGGUUCCCCCCCCUUUCCCCCCCCUUUCAACUGCCCUGCUAUCCCUUGGCAUAAUGGAUGCAAACUGAGAAGGGCAUUCAAGCCUUCGCACACCAAGAUUGCCAAACACAAUCUGUCCAGGGUUCAGUUGUUUUUUUCCAGAGCACAGCGCAGUCUCGGAAGCCGGGCUGGUGCCUCGCGGUUAGGGAUAGGAGAAGAUGUCCGUUUCAGUUUCUCGCAAUCUCUCAUUUUCCCCAUCUUGAGUUCUGUUCUCCACAUUUCCUCAUCAUUUUGCAAUUUUCUUUUAACGGAAUUCCUGUGAAAAUUUGUCAGCGUUUUAAUGCAAACUUCCGCCAUGCACAUUUUUGUACGCGGUCUUCCCUGUCAACCACAUUUUUUUGCAAUACAGUUUCCAUUAAUAUAAUGCAUUUUCCUGCCAAUAAGUGCAUUUAAAUGCAUAAGCAUUUUUGUACAUGUCACCUGGCCAGAGAACCACACUUGCAAGAUCCUUCAAAAUGUGGAUUUCGAGGGGCGGCUGUGUUUUGGUUUGCAUAUUGAUGCUGAAAAUGCGAAUUAGGUACCGGUAAGUUCACAUUGAAAUGCAAACCGAAUUGAGAUUCUCCUCCUGAAAAUGCGAAUUAGGUACCGGUAAGUUCACAUUGAAAUGCAAACCGAAUUGAGAUUCUCCUCCAUCCCAUCUGGAACAUAAAGGACUGAGUUACUGUGGACUUUCUGGCCUCAGUGCCCUCUACAGGCACAAAAGAGAACUGCAGCAAGCAUCACUGACCCCUGCAGUUGGCAGGCAAGACUCUGGGUUGGUCUGUGUCAAAAAGAGAGCCCACAGGGAAAAGCUCUGAAACUGUUUGUUGUUCCAAAGUAGCAGCUCAUCAACUUAUGAUUCAUUGCAUCUUCAGCUUUGGGAGCCAGUGUGGUGUAGUG